AAGGAUCAUUACUGAGUGUUUAGGGUCUUCGGGCCCGACCUCCAACCCUUUGUAUACCAAAACCAUGUUGCUUCGGCGGGGUCCGGGCCUCCCUUCGGGGGGUGCACGCCCGCCGGGGACCAAACCAAACCCUAUUUUAUAACGUGAUGUCUGAGCGAUUCUAGCGAAUUAAAUUAAAACUUUCAACAACGGAUCUCUUGGUUCUGGCAUCGAUGAAGAACGCAGCGAAAUGCGAUAAGUAAUGUGAAUUGCAGAAUUCAGUGAAUCAUCGAAUCUUUGAACGCACAUUGCGCCCCCUGGUAUUCCGGGGGGCAUGCCUGUUCGAGCGUCAUUAACACCCCUCAAGCGCGGCUUGCAGUUGGGCGUCGUCCCCCGGGAUUCCGGGCGGACGUGCCUUAAAAUCAGUGACGGCCGUGGUCGGUCCCCAGCGUAGUACGAUUUAUUUCAAUCAUCGCUUCGGGGCCGGGCGUGCGCCGGUCAGAAUCUUAUGAACUUUUCAUGUUGACCUCGGAUCAGGUAGGAAUACCCGCUGAACUUAA
rnacentral:rRNA from 1 species